rnacentral:antisense_RNA from 1 species
GUUAGCGGCCAGGCCUGAACCCCAGUGGGAUAUUCUACUUCCCCAUCCCAGGAAUGGAGGGAGACUCCAGCGAAAUUACAGGGAAUUCGUGGUCACGGGACCGGCCUCCGCCAAUCGCUCGUCUGGGCCUGGUGGAAAACAGAGCAUUAUUUGGUUUAAUUGAUUCAAAAACACCAGAGGACCACGACCUGGACACCAUGAGCCCCCAUUCCUACACCAGUGCCUCACACGCUCUCUCCCCAAUGCCUCCGUUUCUCCAGAAAAGCUAGAGGAACUUUUUCCUCAUCCCCUUCGAAGGAAAAGAUGAGUGAGGAUCUCCGCGUUGGAGGAAGAGGGAGUCGAAAGAGGCUUCCACUGUUUGAAAAAGACCCAAUGGUGGUUGGGCUUCGGGUCACGUGACAACUUCUUUGUAGCUCCGGAAGAGGAUUGCGAAGUUUAGGUUUCGUGGAAGAAACCGAUAAUUGAGGGAAAAAAAUCAAGAUUUGGGGGAAUUACCUACAAAGAUGUAAGGUGUGUUAAUUUGGGCGCUUCUUGGAUUCUACCCUGAGGAGGAGGCGCGUGGUGAGAGGAGAGCUCCACCAGCUGCGCGCUCGUGUACGCCGUCCGCGCCCGCUUGGACGCCGCCGACCCCGGGGGGCUCUUGUCCCCUCCCCCGCCGCCGCCGCCGCCACCGCCCCCGCUGCCACCACUGCCUCCGCCGCCGCCGCCACCACAGCCCUCUGCUGGAUCCGAGAGGGAGGGGUGGGAAGGGGAGAAAAUGAAAUAAAAGAUAAUUACUGAACACGCCGAAA